UCUCGAUUAGUAUAGUGGUCAGUAUGCCAGCUUGUCAGUGCUUCGUCGGAGAAAUUCGUUGAGCAACAACUCGCUGGAGACCGGGGUUCAAUUCCCCGAUCGAGAG